CUACAAGAUGGGAAGGACCAACAUAACUAAAACCGCGGCUGCGACUCUGGUCAACACUCUUGAAGAUCCAGGCUGCAACCUCGUUGAAUCUCCUGUAUCAAUCAUUACAGGGAACUCGCAAAGUUCAUCAGAUGGAUCUUCAUCUGUGAUCAAACCCAACCCCAAGAAAUCGCAGUCCCAUGUUUUCUGAUCGUGCAUCUGAUAAUACAUAUUAAAGGCAUAUGAAACAUUUCCUGUAGCAGUGAGAUGGUUACAAGAGGAUCCAUACCCGAGUGCUGUGCAAUCAGACAAACUACAAGCAUAGUCGAUAUUAUCAGGCAAGUCAUCGAGGUUAUAUGCAUUAGGGUCAAGAAUACACCAAGUUUUGGGCAGAUACUUCACAUCUUCCACAGGAACCAAAGGCUUGUCAUUUCCUUUACCUGACAAGUCAAGCUCAUAUUUCGGUCUCCCAUCAAACUCAAAGAUCCCCCAGUGCCUCUCAAAAGUCCCCGGUGCUAUACUCUUGGCGUCCUCAUCAACAAGGCUGAAAAGCGUUCUUGUCUCCAUCCGUAGGCCACCCGACCUCUCCUACAAUGAUCUUCAUCCCCAAGAAGCUAUAUCUCUCCAUAGCACAAAUCAAAGUGUCGAGAUUCGCAUCAAACACAUUGGUGUAGACCAAAUUUCCAUCUCUCAAAGACUUGUUAGUCCCAUCAAAGAAGGCAAAAUCCAAAGGAAAGUAAGCAUUUCCAUAGAGACUAAGAAAAGGGUAUAUGUUAACCGUGAAAGGCGAAUCAUGUGAAUACAAGAAAUUGAUUAUCUCAAUCGUUGCAUCCCUUAGCUCAGGUCUAAAGUCUCCAGCUGAUGGAACAGGGUUCGCUUCAGGGGAAAAAUAGAUGUCUGCGUUGAAAGGAACAGUGACUUUCACAUUUUUCAGAUCAGCUUCCUCUAGUGCUCGUUGGAUGUUGAUAAGAGCUGGUAAUGUGAACUCAACGUAAGUUCCAUUAUAUGUCUGAAGGAAAGGCUCGUUUCCAACAGCUAUGUACUUGAUGUUGACUCCACCGUUGUAAGAAUAAGCAGUAACGUUUUCUUCAACCCAUGAAGCUGCUACAGAUGUAUCUUGAGCCAUUUCUUUAAGAAACCGGUUUGGUAUUCCUAUCAUGACUUCAAUGUCUGAGCCAAUUAGAGCGUCUAAGAUGUUUUGGUCGGCUUCAAAUAGUUUCAGCUUAGUGAAACUAUUGUCCAUUAGCAUCUUCACAACCUUUUCUGGUGGAAGCUGGUGACUCGCCAUUAUUCCCCAGUUAACUCCUACAUUACUCGUGUUGCUUGAGGCAAUGGAAACUUGUGAGAUGAUAAGAAAGUAACAAAGAAUAAUCUGAUGAUUAUAAAAGUGGUUUGUUGUUAACUUUGAUCUCUCUCCUGCCAU